rnacentral:rRNA from 1 species
UAGAGGAAGUAAAAGUCGUAACAAGGUUUCCGUAGGUGAACCUGCGGAAGGAUCAUUAGCGAAAUCUUUUGUCAAGAAGGGCUGUAGCUGGCCUCCUCCAGGGGUGGCAUGUGCACGCCUGGAUUGCAAAUCUCCACACACCUGUGCACAUCCCCUCGUAGCUGCUGUGAUGCUGAUGAUACGGAUGUUUCCGAUUCUGACGCGCCCCUUGGCUGCGAGCUGGCUUAUCAUAUACACUUUUCCAAGUAUUAGAAUGUAACUGCAGUAGCGUGUAAAAGCGCGAAAUGAACAACUUUCAGCAACGGAUCUCUUGGCUCUCGCAUCGAUGAAGAACGCAGCGAAAUGCGUUAAGUAAUGUGAAUUGCAGAAUUCAGUGAAUCAUCGAAUCUUUGAACGCACCUUGCGCUCCUUGGUAUUCCGAGGAGCAUGCCUGUUUGAGUGUCAUGGAAUUCUCAACUGCCUUUAUGGUGAAGUUGGAUUUGGAGGAUGGUUUUGCUGGCGCUCUUCUGUGAGCUUUGUCGGCUCCUCUUGAAUGCAUAGGCCUUUCUGUGCAACAUCGUGAAGCGGCUCUGAUGUGAUAAUUAUCUGCGUCGGGCGUCGUUGUUCGCUUUGAGUAUGGAAAUGGAUCGCGAUCGCAGUUAAAUGCGUGUUUGACCAAUYCGACCUCAAAUCAGGUAGGACUACCCGCUGAACUUAAGCAUAUCAAUA